rnacentral:rRNA from 1 species
UUGCUCUCUGAUUCAGCGGCGGACGGGUGAGUAAUGCCUAGGAAUCUGCCUGGUAGUGGGGGACAACGUCUCGAAAGGGACGCUAAUACCGCAUACGUCCUACGGGAGAAAGCAGGGGACCUUCGGGCCUUGCGCUAUCAGAUGAGCCUAGGUCGGAUUAGCUAGUUGGUGAGGUAAUGGCUCACCAAGGCGACGAUCCGUAACUGGUCUGAGAGGAUGAUCAGUCACACUGGAACUGAGACACGGUCCAGACUCCUACGGGAGGCAGCAGUGGGGAAUAUUGGACAAUGGGCGAAAGCCUGAUCCAGCCAUGCCGCGUGUGUGAAGAAGGUCUUCGGAUUGUAAAGCACUUUAAGUUGGGAGGAAGGGCAGUAAGCGAAUACCUUGCUGUUUUGACGUUACCGACAGAAUAAGCACCGGCUAACUCUGUGCCAGCAGCCGCGGUAAUACAGAGGGUGCAAGCGUUAAUCGGAAUUACUGGGCGUAAAGCGCGCGUAGGUGGUUUGUUAAGUUGAAUGUGAAAUCCCCGGGCUCAACCUGGGAACUGCAUCCAAAACUGGCAAGCUAGAGUAAGGAAGAGGGUGGUGGA